rnacentral:tmRNA from 1 species
GGGGGCGAUAAGGCUUCGACAGGGGUGACGGAGGCGAGGUUGCGGGCCGAGUUCCAGACACUCGUUAAACGCUGGAAACCAAACCAAACGCCGAUUCUGAACUGGCGUUGGCUGCCUAAAACAGCCUCGUCCCCCGGGUGGGGCCCGCUCCCCCGGGAUGGACGUUGCAAGCGGGAUAGCUUCCCGGCCGGGUUCCCGACGGCGGGGUCGCGAAACAUUUCUGGGAAUGGCGACGGCGAGGCCGCCUGCGGGCCGGACCGCCGCGAGAAAUAAACCGCGGGACACGCCCGUAGACGAUCGCGUCAAAGCUCCUCUGGACGCGGGUUCGAUUCCCGCCGCCUCCACUU